CCAGGGUGAAGCAUUUGUAUCAUGUGUAGAUGCAACUGUAAAUGAAGACUUGUUAAAGUGAAGAACAUCCUGUGCUAUGGACAGAACCUUGUAUCACCCCUCCAUCAUUCAUAUUUUGAAGCUGAAAGCCCCAAUUAAAACCUCCAUGUUACAACAGGGGAUGGAGCCUUUGAUCUGAUGGGAUUAGCAACCCUUGAAGACACAGAACAAAAUCAUGGAUAUCUCCAUUUGUUGGUGGGACAAGUCAUGUCCACAUGGGAAGGAAAGAGUUAACUGAAACACCAGGCGUCUUCCCUGUGGCUGGAGAUGAUUGACCUCAACAGGCUCCUUG